UAGGGAAUAUUGGACAAUGGGGGAAACCCUGAUCCAGCAACGCCGCGUGGAUGAUGAAGCUUUUUGGAGUGUAAAAUCCUGUCAGUGGGGACGAAACGUCCGGGUAGGAAAUGCCCCGGGCCUGACUGUACCCGCAGAGGAAGUUCCGGCCAACUCCGUGCCAGCAGCCGCGGUAAUACGGGGGGAACGAGCGUUGUUCGGAUUUACUGGGCGUAAAGGGCACGCAGGCGGGGAGACAAGUCAGAUGUGAAAACCCACAGCUUAACUCUGGGCCUGCAUUUGAUACUGUUUCUCUUGAGUACGGGAGAGGAUGGCGGAAUUCUUGGUGUAGCGGUGAAAUGCGUAGAUAUCAAGAAGAACACCGGUGGCGAAGGCGGCCAUCUGGCCCGAUACUGACGCUCAUGUGCGAAGGCAAGGGGAGCAAACAGGAUUAGAUACCCUGGUAGUCCUUGCAGUAAACGAUGGAUACUAGGUGUUGGAGGUAUCGACUCCUCCAGUGCCGCAG
rnacentral:rRNA from 1 species